AUUGAACGCUGGCGGCAUGCCUAACACAUGCAAGUCGAACGGGGCAGCAAUGCCUAGUGGCGGACGGGUGAGGAAUACGUAGGAAUCUGCCCUUAAGUGGGGGAUAACCAGGGGAAACCCUGACUAAUACCGCAUGAUCUCUUCGGAGCAAAGAGGGGGACCGCAAGGCCUCUCGCUUCUGGAUGAGACUACGGCUGAUUAGCUAGUUGGUAGGGUAAAGGCCUACCAAGGCGACGAUCAGUAACUGGUCUGAGAGGAUGAUCAGUCACACCGGAACUGAGACACGGUCCGGACUCCUACGGGAGGCAGCAGUGGGGAAUAUUGGACAAUGGGCGCAAGCCUGAUCCAGCAAUGCCGCGUGUGUGAAGAAGGCCUUCGGGUUGUAAAGCACUUUAGCCUGGAAAGAAAAAACUUUGGUUAACACCCAAAGUCUUGACGGUACCAGGAGAAUAAGCACCGGCUAACUCUGUGCCAGCAGCCGCCGUAACAC
rnacentral:rRNA from 1 species